AAACGUCAAUUGGCUAGAUAUAAAUUCUCACUUCAUCCACAUUCGAGAAUUUCUGUUUUGCCCUAUGGUUUACUGGUAGAUAAUGUCUUAAGGCAUAAGGUCCGCCAUUUGUACUUAUUUUAAUUGUGCAAUAAAGUUUAAAUGUGGCAUUAUCUAUAAAAAGGGACCUUAUUGUCGAUGGCGCUUACGUCGCACUGCGUCGCGCAGCGUUGUAUUUGUAUCGGAGCAUCGUUUAUAACGGCGGAAGCGCCACCGACAAUAAGGUCCCUUUUCAUAGAGAACGUCACAAAUAAUAAUUGUAAUAGAACCUAAACUGAGAUUUAGAAUACAUAAAGGAAUAAUAAUAAUGAAUUCAUCUUCCUCGCGUUGUCCCGACAUUUUUGCUACGGCUCAUGGGAGCAAAAAAAUUCGCUUGGCAACUCAUUCCAAGAAUUGGUGUAGGCCAUAGUUUUACGAAAGCGACUGCCAUCUGACCUUCCAACCCAGAGGGUAACCUAGGCCUUAUUGGUAUUAGUCUGGCUUCCUCACGAUGAUUUCUUUCACCGAAAUCGACUGGUAAAUAUCAAAUAACAUUUCGUACAUACUCGGAAGUUUCGAAAAACUCAUUGGUUAGGACGGGGUAACCCGCGACGCGACCCGCUGAUUGCAAGUCGCACGCCCUUACUGCUAGGCCACUAACGCUUCUAGCUAAAUAUAAAUUAAUACACAUAAAUUCCAUAAUUUUCAGAGUUACCCCUCACCACCAUACUGACCAGCGCUAUCUCGUUGGUGCUGGUGGUGGUCGUGAUCGCGGUUGCCGUCUGCAUGGUGCGUAGACGACGCGCCGCGCGCCCUGCGCCUUCUGCCUCGCAAGCCAAGCAAGAAAACCUAUAUGCUAACGUGUCCAGGGAUAUGGCUUCAACGGAGAUGACGUACGCUGAGCUGCAGUUCUCGACGCCAAGACCUAGAACUGCCACGAAUAGACUCAAAGUAGAGUCGGAAACAUGUGAAUACGCCACUAUUGUGCCUAGAUCGGAGCGCUGACCUAAACUAAACGUUGAGGUAGAUUCUAAUACAACAAUUUGUCAUAAUUUUGACCUGGUUUUGAUAUUUUUAUUAUGAACCGACCGACGAUUGUGCCUCACACCUGAUGGAAAGUGAAGGCAAAGCCUAAGAUGGAGCUCACCGGCUCGGCAACUAUCAUUUCAUUUAUUGAAGUGAAAACUUCUUUAGCGGCGCUGUGCACUUUUUGUGAUGGUGAAAAAAUGUUAAACUCGCGACAGAUCACGUGACCGACAGAUUCGACAGAUGGAAAAUUCAUAAGACGGACACGUGACCUGAUCGAAAAACUGUUACAAUGUCAUUGAAGCCAGUAGACCGCCGGCGCGACUUGAAUAUUAACUUUGUGCAUUUUAAAUGUUAAAUAAUUGUAAUAGUUCUGAAGUGUUAAAUUUUUAAUAUAAUAUAAAUUGUCAUGUUUGUGUACGAUAGCGCAAUAAAUGAAAAUUGUAUUUUGCCACAUAAAUUAUAGUACUUUUGUAUGUAUGUAUAUAAUUUAUUGUACAUAGAAAUAAAAACACGAAAAACACAGUUACAGAGUAAAUUAAAUACAACAAAGGCGAACUUAUCCCUGUAUGGGAUCUCUUCCAGUACUUUUAUACUGAUAAUUAAAGCAAUUCGUGCAAAAUUAUUCCCUAACCAUUCCAAAAUAUCAAAAAUGCACAACGUUAAUAUUUAAGUUUUCACUUCUGCCGGCACUCCCGGAGUGCAACCCGUUGUUUUUUUCAACAUAUACACGGUGCCCGCGAGGAAACGGAAAGAUUGUUAACAGUAUAUUCCAGAUCGUAUUUAGAGACAAAACCGGGCAAGUGCGAGACGGACUCGCGCACGAAGGGUUCCGUACCAUUUAUAAAAAUGUCAAAAAAAAAUGUUUGUUGUAUGUGAGCCCCCUUAAAUAUUUAUUUUAUUCUGUUAGUGUUUGUUGUUAUAGCUGCAACAGAAAUACAUUAUCUGUGAAAAUUU